UACGUAGGGGGGCAAGCGUUGUCCGGAUUUAUUGGGCGUAAAGAGCGUGUAGGCGGCCAAGCAGGUCCGCUGUGAAAACUCGAGGCUCAACCUCGAGACGUCGGUGGAAACCGUUUGGCUAGAGUCCGGAAGAGGAGAGUGGAAUUCCCGGUGUAGCGGUGAAAUGCGCAGAUAUCGGGAGGAACACCGGAGGCGAAGGCGGCUUGCUGGACCUGGUCUGACGCUGAGGCGCGAAAGCGUGGGGAGCGAACAGG
rnacentral:rRNA from 1 species